rnacentral:rRNA from 1 species
AUUGAACGCUGGCGGCAUGCCUUACACAUGCAGGUCGAACGGUAACGGGCCUUCGGGUGCCGACGAGUGGCGAACGGGUGCGUAAUACAUCGGAACGUGCCCGAUCGUGGGGGAUAACGAGGCGAAAGCUUUGCUAAUACCGCAUACGAUCUACGGAUGAAAGCAGGGGACCGCAAGGCCUUGCGCGGACGGAGCGGCCGAUGGCAGAUUAGGUAGUUGGUGGGAUAAAAGCUUACCAAGCCGACGAUCUGUAGCUGGUCUGAGAGGAUGAUCAGCCACACUGGGACUGAGACACGGCCCAGACUCCUACGGGAGGCAGCAGUGGGGAAUUUUGGACAAUGGGCGCAAGCCUGAUCCAGCCAUGCCGCGUGCAGGAUGAAGGCCUUCGGGUUGUAAACUGCUUUUGUACGGAACGAAAAGCCUUCUUUUAAUACAGGAGGGUCAUGACGGUACCGUAAGAAUAAGCACCGGCUAACUACGUG